GACGUAGGGGGCAAGCGUUGUCCGGAUUUAUUGGGCGUAAAGAGCGUGUAGGCGGCCGUACAGGUCAGCUGUGAAAACUCGAGGCUCAACCUCGAGACGUCGGUUGAAACCGUACGGCUAGAGUCCGGAAGAGGAGAGUGGAAUUCCCGGUGUAGCGGUGAAAUGCGCAGAUAUCGGGAAGAACACCCGUGGCGAAGGCGGCUCUCUGGGACGGUACUGACGCUGAGACGCGAAAGCGUGGGGAGCGAACAGG
rnacentral:rRNA from 1 species